GUUUGAUCAUGGCUCAGGACGAACGCUGGCGGCGUGCCUAAUACAUGCAAGUAGAACGCUGAAGAGAGGAGCUUGCUCUUCUUGGAUGAGUUGCGAACGGGUGAGUAACGCGUAGGUAACCUGCCUUGUAGCGGGGGAUAACUAUUGGAAACGAUAGCUAAUACCGCAUAACAAUGGAUGACACAUGUCAUUUAUUUGAAAGGGGCAAUUGCUCCACUACAAGAUGGACCUGCGUUGUAUUAGCUAGUAGGUGAGGUAAUGGCUCACCUAGGCGACGAUACAUAGCCGACCUGAGAGGGUGAUCGGCCACACUGGGACUGAGACACGGCCCAGACUCCUACGGGAGGCAGCAGUAGGGAAUCUUCGGCAAUGGGGGCAACCCUGACCGAGCAACGCCGCGUGAGUGAAGAAGGUUUUCGGAUCGUAAAGCUCUGUUGUAAGUCAAGAACGGGUGUGAGAGUGGAAAGUUCACACUGUGACGGUAGCUUACCAGAAAGGGACGGCUAACUACGUGCCAGCAGCCGCGGUAAUACGUAGGUCCCGAGCGUUGUCCGGAUUUAUUGGGCGUAAAGCGAGCGCAGGCGGUUUGAUAAGUCUGAAGUUAAAGGCUGUGGCUCAACCAUAGUUCGCUUUGGAAACU
rnacentral:rRNA from 1 species